rnacentral:rRNA from 1 species
AUUGAACGCUGGCGGCAUGCCUUGCACAUGCAAGUCGAACGGUAACAGGUCUUCGGAUGCUGACGAGUGGCGAACGGGUGAGUAAUACAUCGGAACGUGCCCAGUAGUGGGGGAUAACUACUCGAAAGAGUGGCUAAUACCGCAUGAGAUCUACGGAUGAAAGCAGGGGAUCGCAAGACCUUGUGCUACUAGAGCGGCCGAUGGCAGAUUAGGUAGUUGGUGGGAUAAAAGCUUACCAAGCCGACGAUCUGUAGCUGGUCUGAGAGGACGAUCAGCCACACUGGGACUGAGACACGGCCCAGACUCCUACGGGAGGCAGCAGUGGGGAAUUUUGGACAAUGGGCGCAAGCCUGAUCCAGCAAUGCCGCGUGCAGGAUGAAGGCCUUCGGGUUGUAAACUGCUUUUGUACGGAACGAAAAGCCCUGGGUUAAUACCCUGGGGUCAUGACGGUACCGUAAGAAUAAGCACCGGCUAACUACGUGCCAGCCGCCGCCGUAAUAC